AACGAACGCUGGCGGCAGGCUUAACACAUGCAAGUCGAACGCCCCGCACGGGGAGUGGCAGACGGGUGAGUAACGCGUGGGAACGUGCCCUUCGCUUCAGGAUAGCCUCGGGAAACUGGGAGUAAUACUGGAUACGCCGUAUUGGGAAAGAGUUAUCGGCGAAGGAUCGGCCCGCGUUAGAUUAGGUAGUUGGCGGUGUAAUGGACCACCAAGCCUACGAUCUAUAGCUGGUCUGAGAGGAUGAUCAGCCACACUGGGACUGAGACACGGCCCAGACUCCUACGGGAGGCAGCAGUGGGGAAUCUUGGACAAUGGGCGCAAGCCUGAUCCAGCCAUGCCGCGUGAGUGAAGAAGGCCUUAGGGUUGUAAAACUCUUUCGCCGGAGAAGAUAAUGACGGUAUCCGGAGAAGAAGCCCCGGCUAACUUCGUGCCAGCCGCCGCCGUAAGAC
rnacentral:rRNA from 1 species